GUACUGUCAAACGAAAUCGAGAAUUUCCACUUUAUUUGCAUAUUUUGCGCUAAUUCACGAUAAAAAACAUUGUUAAUUCUUUGUUAAAACUUACCAGGCAUCUUUUAGUUUUGUUUGUCCACGUCGAAAACCACUUUUGAGUAAAGGAUGGAAGACGAUGAUGAUGUGCCAUCCCUCUCAGCGGAGACAUUUGCAGCUCUACAGGAGUUCUACAACGAGCAGGCUCGGAGGCAGGAAAUAUUGAACCAGCUAGAGAGUAGUGACAAGCUCAAAGAGAAUAUAUUAUUUGAUGAGAAUUGGCAACUGAGUCAGUUUUGGUACGAUGAAGCUACGGUGCACUCACUAGUGAAGUUAGUGGACAAAAUAUUGCCCAACGGUGGGAAAGUGGCCCUCCUGUCUUGUCCCACACUUUUUGUGCCCGUCAAACGGCAGGUUGGGGAGAGAGCUACAGUGUCCCUCCUGGAGUUCGACAGACGAUUUGAAGUCCACGGUCCAGACUUCAUAUUCUACGACUACAACUAUCCAGACAGGCUGCCUCCCAACUUGGAGCAAUACGACCUGGUCAUCGCCGACCCCCCAUUCCUCUCCGAGGAGUGCCUCACUAAAACUGCACAGACUAUAAAACUACUAGCUAAAGAUAAAAUUGUCGUAUGUACAGGUGCUAUUAUGAAGGCACACGUGGAGAAGUUGCUAGAGUUAAAAUUAUGCCAAUUUCAGCCGCGUCAUAGAAAUAAUUUGGCCAAUGAAUUCUCGUGUUAUGCCAAUUUUGAUCUGGAUGGAGUGCUGAGGUGAUGAUUGCUUGGGUUAUGAAUUAUGAUGUCGUUAAGUUAAUUGGACUUCGAUUUUUUGUCUUAAAAUACCAAACAUCUGUUGUACAAGACUAUCUAAAAUAUAUAAUAUUUUGAAAGUCAUUGUAAAUGUUAAUUCCGAUACGUAUAUAGGGUUAUGUUCAGUGACGUGUCGUUCCCAGGAAUAUUCCUACUUUGGGAAUAUUCCCGGCAGUAAAAAGGCGCAAAACCCAUGUAAAUAAAAACUUUUACUACCUAAUCUUUAGGCAGACAAGACCAGGGGGGUUAAAAUAGCCACAUUGAAGCAAUUAAUCUAAGAAAGCAAUAUUGCUUUUUGACAGUUUGCAUUGCGCACUUACUUUUAUAUGCGCAAAUGUCAAAUUGCAAUAUAGCUUUCUUAGAUGAAUUGCUUCGAUGUGGCCAUUUUAACCCCCAUUUUAACAAGAAAGAACAAUUUGAAAAAGAAAAGCCUGUGUCCUUACUAUUAAAGAGUUCUUGCAACGGGAACAUUCUCUCUUUGGGAAC